UUAAGGUAUGGAGCCGAAGGGAAACCGAGUCUGAAAAGGGCGAAAAGUUGCAUGGUGUAGACCCGAAACCGGGUGACCUAUCCAUGGCCAGGUUGAAGCGAGAGUAAAAUCUCGUGGAGGACCGAACCACGUUGGUGUUGAAAAACCAUGGGAUGAGCUGUGGAUAGCGGAGAAAUUCCAAUCGAACUCGGAGAUAGCUGGUUCUCCUCGAAAUAGCUUUAGGGCUAGCGUCGUGUAAUUGAGUAAUGGAGGUAGAGCACUGAAUGGGCUAGGGGCUAUAGUAGUUACCGAACCCUAUCAAACUCCGAAUGCCAUAUACUUGUAUCACGGCAGUCAGACUGCGAAUGAUAAGAUCCGUAGUCAAAAGGGAAACAGCCCAGACCAUCAGCUAAGGUCCCAAAGUGUAAGUUAAGUGGAAAAGGAUGUGG
rnacentral:rRNA from 1 species